rnacentral:tRNA from 1 species
GAACCAGUCGCCAAGUGGUAAGGCAAGGGUCUGCAAAACCCUUAUACGGCGGUUCGAUUCCGCCCUGG